AAGUCGUAACAAGGUCUCCGUAGGUGAACCUGCGGAGGGAUCAUUACACAAAUAUGAAGGCGGGCUGGAAUCUCUCGGGGUUACAGCCUUGCUGAAUUAUUCACCCUUGUCUUUUGCGUACUUCUUGUUUCCUUGGUGGGUUCGCCCACCACUAGGACAAACAUAAACCUUUUGUAAUUGCAAUCAGCGUCAGUAACAAAUUAAUAAUUACAACUUUCAACAACGGAUCUCUUGGUUCUG
rnacentral:misc_RNA from 1 species